rfam:Rhizobium sp. LC145 LC145_contig21, whole genome shotgun sequence.
AGUCAAUAGUCUUUGGCACCGAUUUGGUGAGCUGAUUCCUUUUGCCGAUCGAAAGGUGAAAGAAAAAUG